rnacentral:rRNA from 1 species
AUACGUAGGUGACAAGCGUUAUCCGGAUUUACUGGGUGUAAAGGGCGUGUAGGCGGUUUAGCAAGUCAGAAGUGAAAUUCCCGGGCUUAACUUGGGCGCUGCUUCUGAAACUGCUUUACUUGAGUGCUGGAGAGGAUAGUGGAAUUCCUAGUGUAGCGGUAAAAUGCGCAGAUAUUAGGAGGAACACCGGUGGCGAAGGCGGCUAUCUGGACAGUAACUGACGCUGAGGCGCGAAAGCACGGGGAGCAAACAGGAUUAGAUACCCUGGUAGUCCGUGCUGUAAACGAUGAAUACUAGGUGUAGGGGGUAUCGACUCCCUCUGUGCCGCAGUUAACACAUUAAGUAUUCCACCUGGGGAGUACGGCCGCAAGGUUGAAACUCAAAGGAAUUGACGGGG